AGCCCCCUAUUUUUACCCCUGAAUUAUCUACAUGCCUGUCUACCUAUCCACCUCCCUCCCUACCUACCACCCAACCUGCCUGCUCAAUAACCAAUCAAUCUCUAUGAGAAUAAAUAUUACCAUCUAGCUACCCGCCUAUCUAUCAACGCUAGCUUACUAGCUGACUACCUGCCGUCCUACCUGCCUAUCUCUCUACUGAGCUGCUUGAAUGAAUGAUAUCCACUGAUGAUAUCUAUUGACGACAUCCACUAAUGAAUUCUAGCAAUGGUAUCUAGCAAUGAUAUAUAUCGCCCGCACAAUCCUCUUUAUUACGAAAUACCUAGGCAGC
rnacentral:sRNA from 2 species